rnacentral:misc_RNA from 1 species
GAUGAAGAACGCAGCGAAAUGCGAUAAGUAGUGUGAGUUGCAGAAUUCAGUGAAUCAUCGAAUCUUUGAACGCACAUUGCGCCCCUUGGUAUCCCGAGGGGCAUGCCUGUUCGAGCGUCAUUUCACCACUCAAGCCUGGCUUGGUGUUGGGCGACGUCCCCUUUGGGGACGCGCCUCGAAACGCUCGGCGGCGUGGCACCGGCUUUAAGCGUAGCAGAAUCUUUCGCUUUGGAAGUCGGGGCCCCGUCUGCCGGAAGACCUACUCGCAAGGUUGACCUCGGAUCAGGCAGGGAUACCCGCUGAACUUAAGCAUAUCAAUAAGCGGAGGA